rnacentral:ncRNA from 20 species
UGGGGUCAACUUUGGUACGGAAGCAGAUCGAAAAAUAGCUACUUUGUUAUUUGUCGUUGCUCUAAAAAGUCAACGGCAAUUAAGCAUGCUUCAAGAAUUAGCUUUUUUCUGUUCAGAUCUCGAAAACAUUCAGCGGCUCAGUGAUUGUCAAACAAUAGAUGAAGCACAAAAAAUUCUGGCUCAAGCCUAAAGUUACGUCUGAAAAAAUCAAUUCAAUUUGAAAUGUUCAAUAAUUAUUGAAAUAAUUUUAUAUUAAAAAAUAAAAUAUUUUAAUUUGAUAGAUUAAACAAAAAAGAUAAGAAGAUUCCUUGACAAAAAAUAGGCCCUAUGAUAAAUUUAAGGUAACUUGUGACAAAGUCGUGCAUGGAUGCACUAAAAAGACACCCUAUUGUGGUAGGGUGUCUUUUUUUGC